GGAGAGGAGGAGAGGAGAGGGGAGGGGAGGGGAGGGAAGGGAAGGGAAGGGGAGGGGAAGGGAAGAGAAGAGAAGAGGGGACAGGAGGGGAGGGGAGAGGUAAAGAGAAAAAGAGAAGAAAAGAAAGGAAAAGAAAAAGCAAAAGAAAAGAAAAGAAUCUCAGAGUCCUGGAGGCCAGGAGGCCUAAUAUCCAGAUGAGGACCUUUGUACCACAUCAUAGCAGGAUAAAGGCAUCACGCGCAUUUCUCUUACAGAUCUUGUUCUGUCCAAGAUGGGGAAACAAGGCUUUUAUAACGUUGCCUUGAAACAUGUCCUGCAUUCUUCCAGAACUAGAUACACCUGCCCCCCUAAGGGGCGUGAGAUUUCAGUCAUGAGAGUUUAUUGUUUGCAGUGGAGGCCCAAGUCCUUCUCUGGUCCGCCUUGGGCCAGUCCUGACAAAGUGCACCACCCAUGCAGAUUCCCUGCCAAAUACAGAGAUGCAGAAGUGUUGACAAGGAGCUUCAGACCCAGGGAACAGGCCACAAAUGAACGGUGGUGACAUCGUGUGACGUUACAUAAAACAGGGCCUCCAGGCACACAGAACGGUGACACAGUGUUCAGAACACCUCCCCAUUCCCAGACAGAGGGAAGGCCUCGAGCCAGCAGGGAGCCUGACUCUCCCAACACCCUGCCCCGGACGGCAUCAGGACUACUGGCCAGAGGAAGGGACGGAAGCCACAUCCUAGAAAGCAGAGAGCUGGAACUCGCCCUUCUGACUUUGAUGUUCAUCCUUUUUUGCAAAUGAGAAAGGGACCAAGAGAUGAGUACAGCGACGAAGAGGACACAAAAAGAACGGAGCUGUGUUCUGUACACGCACCAGCCCCUGGGGUGAACAUGAUCACUCUGUACUGCGUACGCAGACUAGCAAAAAGUAAAUACAAAUCCAUACUCUUUUCAUAACCCACUGCUUCCUUCCACUCAGCGUAUUAAAAUUAUUUCAAUCUAAGCGAGGACUCACAAGUGCCGGUGCCCCGGACUAAUGGGCUGAGCACUCCGUAAACCUGCGUCCUUAGGGACCAACAGCCCACAGUCUGUGAAGAUGUGUUAUGGUUUGUGUCUGGAUGUCCCCCCAAAGCCUCGUGCAGUCAGGGGGCGGGCUUCUAGAGUUUAUGAUUGAUUCAUGUUCAACGCUGGGAUUAUGGGUGUGAGUGCUACAACCACCCUAGGGCGGGUAGUUUGCAUACAAUAUAAGGGAGGAACAGGCUGCUUGCCACCACUCCUAUCUUUUGCUCUUGCUGAUUUUGCUGUCUUUUGUUGCCUUCUGCCCUGUGCCACUCUGCCUUGCAGCCAGCUGAAUAUGGAGUGAAACUUCUACAAACAGUGAGCUAAAUAAACCUUUCCUUCCUUAAUUUUGGGUAUCAGGUAUUUUGUCUCAGCAAUAAGAGAAAAGUAACCAAGACAAAAUGUCAGCGACAUCUUCCCACAAUGGCGAAUAAAAUUCUAUCAAAACCACACUAUAAAGCGGGUGUGGUGGUGCACGCCUGUAAUCCCAGCACUCCAAAGGCUGAGGCAGGAGGACUGCCACAAAUUCGAGGCCAGCCUGGGCUACAUAUAUAGUUCAGGGACAGCCGGAACUAUACAGCAAGACCCUGUCUCAAAAAAACAAAAAAAAGCACUGUACCCAAAUAGUCAACAGACACUCCCAAAGCAUGUCGCCCUCUGCAGAAGGGCACACUGCGACAUCGAAAAUACCCGGCGGCAAGCUGGACACUGCUCUUGCAAACUGCAGACAGGACGGCUCUUAAUUCCAGGGCACUAGUUCAAAUCUGUUCUAGAUUUGAAUUGACGGAAAAUUGCUCCCUCCUGACAGUCAUUCAGCAGGCCACGCUCAUUCUCAGCAAAUGAGUGCUCCCCGGGGGCAGAGCCGCCUGUGCAAAGCUCUGGAUGCCACUGGCCUCUCUGCCCAGCCACAUGGCAGAGCUGAGGAAAAGAUCAGCUUCCUUUAAAAACAUUCCCUGAAGGGACCCCACGCUUAAGGCAAAACAGAUGCGCCUGUGAAAGAACAUUAGGCCAAAGGCAGCCUGUUCUCUGCCCCACACUGGCCCCUAAUGAAAAACCUCAGCCUUGCCUGUGGUUCCACUUUCUCCAGUUCUCUUUUGUUUGAUGUCUUGGAAGCUGUCCAGGCACACGGUGCCACAGUGGGCGGAAGUCCGGUGGUGGACUUCUUUGAUGUGAAGUAUCAGAGUGAGGGGAGAUCUUGUAGCUUUGCCACAAUUUGUGUAUGAUCUUAUUCCCUGUGCAGCAGUAGCAGAAGCGCCUACAUUUACUGAGCCCUCCAUGUACCGGGCCGAUGUAUGCAGAAUGUAUCGCGCUUUCUCUGGAAGUGCAGAUGCAGAAAUGGACGAUUACGGGCCCUUUUUCUAAGAUCACACAUCCCAAGGAUGGUGGGUCUAGGAAAAAAGCUAGGUUGGUCUAACUCUGAAAUCCAACUCUAAGCCCCUGAACUGCACAACCUGCCGAUCCCGGCACCUGUAGGAGGUUCAUCUGUAAAAUGGGAAUGCUGGACAGGACGGAGAUCUUGGAAAGUCAGAAAAGAGCCCGCAAGGGUUGGGAACGUUUUUAUGUCUUAGAAUUAGUGUGGUCGUUAAGUUUGAAUUUGACUGCCUUUCCUAGGGUCUUCAGACUCCUGUUCAUUCAGGGCCCACCUGCCCUCCCACCUGGGGCUCCGCGCUGAGCCGUUGAAGGCGUUUGGGUUUUCAGUCCCUCAGCACUUAUUUUUAAAAAAUAUUUUAGUGCCUAAUAUAUAUAUAAUCUUUUGUUUGAGACAGGGUCUCACCAUGUAGUUCAGGCUGGCCUUGAGCUCACUUGGUAGCCCAGGCUGGUCUCGAACUCGCAAGGAUCCUCCUGCCUCAGCCUCCCGAGUGCUGGGAUGACAGGCGGGC
rnacentral:lncRNA from 1 species